rnacentral:rRNA from 1 species
CACCACAACCCGGGGCCUAGUGUGGGGCAAUUCCACGUUUUCCGCGCCGUACUAACGCAUUAAGUGCCCCGCCUGGGGAGUACGGCCGCAAGGCUAAAACUCAAAGGAAUUGACGGGGGCCCGCACAAGCGGCGGAGCAUGCGGAUUAAUUCAAUGCAACGCGAAGAACCUUACCAAGGCUUGACAUGAACCGGAAAGACCUGGAAACAGGUGCCCCGCUUGCGGUCGGUUUACAGGUGGUGCAUGGUUGUCGUCAGCUCGUGUCGUGAGAUGUUGGGUUAAGUCCCGCAACGAGCGCAACCCUCGUUCUAUGUUGCCAGCGCGUGAUGGCGGGGACUCAUAGGAGACUGCCGGGGUCAACUCGGAGGAAGGUGGGGACGACGUCAAAUCAUCAUGCCCCUUAUGUCUUGGGCUUCACGCAUGCUACAAUGGCCGGUACAAAGGGUUGCGAUACUGUGAGGUGGAGCUAAUCCCAAAAAGCCGGUCUCAGUUCGGAUUGGGGUCUGCAACUCGACCCCAUGAAGUCGGAGUCGCUAGUAAUCGCAGAUCAGCAACGCUGCGGUGAAUACGUUCCCGGGCCUUGUACACACCGCCCGUCAAGUCACGAAAGUUGGUAACACCCGAAGCCGGUGGCCUAACCCUUGUGGGGGGAGCCGUCGAAGGUGGGACCGGCGAUUGGGACUAAGUCGUAACAAGGUAGCCGUACCGGAAGGUGUGGCU